rnacentral:lncRNA from 1 species
AAGAAAUUCGAUAGUGUAACAGAUGAUUCCAGAAUUCCAAGAAUGAUAGCCUAAGAAAUGUGCAAGCAACUUAGAGUGGAUAUCAUUUGCACAUUUUUUGAAUCAUCAAAUGUGAGUUUUGUUUAUCAAAAUAUACAUGGCGUAUCGAUAACUAUAACAAAACAAAUUGCUGAAUAAUUAUACAUUCUUGUAUUUUCAGAUAGAGGUACAUUUUAUGCUAAAUCUUAUAGAUGAUGAAUUGCUGGAGCUGUUUUGGAAGGAAUCUGGACCUUCUGAUGAUGAAGUGGAUCCUAAGCUGGAUAAUGUCACUUCUGAGGAUGAAGGCCAAGAAAAUCUGCAAGUGAUGAUGUACAAUCAAGUUUCGGCCGCCCACAAUGUCCUAAGACACCGGAUCGACCAUCUGUGUCUAGCCAUCUACAUUAAUCUAAAACAGCUAGAUGACCCUCACUUUCUUAUGACUAUAUCACUCAUUUACUAAAACAAGAAAUAAGAAGAGUUGAAGAGCGGGUGCGAGGUGAGAUGUCAGAGCGCUUCGAUCGAGUAGAAAGAAAAAUUAAUUUAUUUCUCCAAUUGACUGGUAGAGGUGGAGUUCAGUCUAAGAGAAGCGAAUUUGAUGAUCGAGCUUUUAGUACAACAAUCAACUAAACAAAGAGGCAAGAGAGCAACGUGAGGUGAUUAUUGAAGAAUGCUCUCAUGAAGAAGUCACGUCGAAUAAGCAAAACGAGGCUUUUCCUACAUAUGAUGAUGGUAUAUUCUCUUUUUUACUUUUUGCAAUAAACUACAAAUAAUUUUUAUGUUGGGUCCCAUUUGCGGGAUUUGUGCCAGAUCCUUCAUCCGUCAUAGUUGUGUACCAACAACAACCUUUAGUCUGGAUUGGAGCGUAUUUUUAGAUCGAAGAAGCUCGACAAGAUGAGGUAACAGAAAAGGCGGUUGGGCCGAAAGAGGAUUCAAACAUAUUAACAAAGGUAAAAUUAUUUUACAUUCCAAUAUUUCAGUUUUCAAUAUUGUGUGUUAAAAUGGAUUGAAUUGUGUUUCAUCAACUUUUAUAGACGAUUUUGGGGAGCUUUCAACAUCUUCACAUGUUUUCCAGCCUAGUAAUAGAAUCAUUGAGAUUGAGGAUCUGAAUUCUGAGUUGACUGUAGGAAAGGGCAUCGAGUUAAGAGAAGAGCAACCGUGAUGCUUUCUCCAUACACUAAUCCCUUAAAGAGGAGAAAAAAUGUUGAAUAUUCAAGUAUAUGAUCCUUUAAGAAAAGUAGAUCCUGCAAAAGUUGAAGACCUCAAUAAGUGGUUGGCAAAUGCAUUGCAGAGGUGAUUUAUUUUAUUCCAGUGAAAAAUCAGAUUUCUUCUUUGUUAAUUUUCAAUAAAACUUUAAAUCUUCAGCUUAUAGCAUUAAUUGCCUUUGAAUUGCAUGCUAGACCUCUUCUUUAUGGUUUGUUUUGGUGUAUUAUACGGUCUGUCAUCCAAAACUAUAUAAGGUAGGUAAAAUAAAUGGUGGACUCAUAACUUGAUAAGAGUUUGAGUCAAAUAAUAAAUUCAAUUAUUCAAGUCUAAAAUGAGUAGACGUCUACUUGAACUUGCACUGGUUCAACUAUUGGCUCCCUCUAAAACGCAAGUCGUUUGUGUUGAUUAAGAUCAAUAGCAAAUUGGUUCCUAAACUUCUCAGUGGCAUAUCGAUAUCCUUUUUCCAUUCUUGUUCAAUUCAUUUCUUUUCCAACGCAUUCAAUUGAACCCUCCAAUUGUCAUUAUGUUCCCAGAAUCAUCUACUAAAUUUGUGCAAUUUAGUCUCUGAACUUUUGAUUUUUCUAUUUUGCCAUUUUCUCCAAUUCUAUUAAUUUACAUCUAACUUUAAUAACAAAUUAAAUUUAUAUAAAAUUAAGACUCAAUUUAUCCAAAUUAACAAUAAUUGAUCUAGUUCAAUGACUCAGAUAAGUGCAUAAAAAUAUAAAAUAGACUUAUCAAAUACCUCCAAACUUGAACAAUUAUUUGUCUGCUUAACUGAAACAAAAAUUUUCACAGACAUGGGUAGAUAAUCUGUAGCUAGGCUUAAAAUUGUAAAUUUUGAGUUAUACUAUGAAAUGCUUCAAAAUCACAUUACUAAAAUUAAUCUCUACUUAUCCAAUGCAAAACCAACAUGCACGCGUGAAGAUUUAUGUAAAAUAUCAGAGUCAUAAAUUGAUUCAAUUCUUGACCUUCAAUGGUUAAAUAUUUUAUUUCUUCACUUGUAAGGAAAAAAGUGAUCCUAGUUGCAUUGUCGACAAGUAAAUAUAGUCUUCUCCUGAUCUUUUGGUGCUAUAGCAAUCUGAUUAUAGCCUAAAUACUCAUCCAGAAAGUAGUAAUGUAAUUGUCAAACGAGUCUCUUUAACAUCUUAUCAAUGAAAGAAAGGAAAAAUGUGAUCCUUCCUAGCUGCAUUGUUGAGUUUGUGAUGGUCAAUAUAAACACUUCAAUCUAUGACUAUGCUCGGAGGAAUCAACUUGUUGUUUUCAUUAAGCAGCCUAUAAUUCCUCCAUUCUCUAGUACUACAUAUAUUGGGCUAACCUAAUUACUAUUUGAUAUAGGAUAUAUGUCCAAGAAUUCAAUAAUUUCAGUAUUUCUGCCUUCACAGCCUCCUGCAUAUUUGAAUUUAAUCUAAGAUGCCGCUCUAUUGACAAUUUAAACUCUUAUUCCAUCAAAAUUUUGUACAUAUAAGGAGAAGGGAUGAUCUCUUUUAUGUUAAAGAUAGUGCAUAUAAUUGCUGUUUUAUGAUCUCGAAGUUCCCUCAAUUGUUGAUCUUCUUCAUCUUUGUUAAGAACAUUUGAGAUGAUUAUGGGAGGUGUAUUUCUCUCUCCCAAGAAGGCAUACAGUAAGUGUGAAGGCAACUGUUUAAGUUCAUGAACUGGAGCUUUUUGAAUUGAUGGUAAAGGUAUUGUAGGGCCUUUACCUAGAUCUAACCGUGUCAGAUUCAAAAUUGGAAGAUUGCCUUUCAACUACUGAACACAUUUUUCUAUCUUUUAUUUAUUUAUUCAGAUGGUAGUUCUUUAGAAUAAACCAAUUGUGCCUCAAGUGGAUCUUAAGAAUGAUAAAUUUGUCUCCAUCAUUGCCGUAUUUAUUAUAUCAAUUGUAAAAAAGAAUCUGGUUCAUCAUCGAAUUUGAGUGCAUUGAAGAAGUUGAUGUUCGAUUCUUCACUAUUCAUCCUAAAGAUCAAUAGUUCAUUCUGCAUAUCAAUCAAUGCUCUAUCAAUAGUGAAAAAUGGAUGAUCUAGUAUGAAAGAGAUGUUUUGUCUUCUUUCAUGUCAUCAUGAUAAAGUCUGCUGGGAAUAUAAAUUUGUCAACCUCCACUAAAAUAUCUUCAACAAUCCUCAUUAUGUACUUGAUUGAUCUGUUUGCCAACUAUAGUAUAAUUGAAGUAGCUUUUGCUUUCCCUAAAUCUAGUUUCCUAAAAAGAGACAAAGGCGUUAAAUUAACAAUUGCUUCUAAAUCACAUGAUGCCUAUUCGAUGCGUUUAUUACCAAUGCAACAAGGAAUAGUAAAACUUCUUGGAUCUUUUAAUUUUGGUGGUAAGUUGUUUUUGAAGUAUGAUCAUCAUUACCAUUUCAUUAUCUUUUAGCUUCCUUUUGUUUAGCAAUACGUCCUUCAUAAAUUUCGCAUACUUGGGCAUUUGGGCUAAGGCUUUUGCAAAUGGUACAUUGAUGUGAAUCUUUCUGAACACCUCCAAACACUUUGCGAACUACUUAUCAAGUUUGUAUUUUUGCAAUUUUUAUGAGAAUGGUAUGUAUUUCUUGAUAGCAAUGGUUGCCUUAAAUUGUAGACCAUCUGAUAUAUCUACCUAAAUUUCCUCUAUUAAGUUGAUACACGUGUUCCUCACUCAUAGUAGAAACUUUUUUUGUGGUAAUAGUUGGUCUUUUCAAUGUUAUUUCUGGUAAUUGAACUUUUAUUCGAGUAGUGAUGGCAUGUAUUUGUUCUUUAGGAUUUGCUUUUGUAUUGCUUGGUAAAGUCCCUUGAGUUUUGCCUACUAGUGCAGUUACCACCUGACCCAUUCGAUAUUCCAAAAUUUUAAUUGUAGCAAGAUGGUUUUGAAGAAUAGUUUUAUCUUAGUAAUCUUCCGAUUCAAUAAUUCCACAACAGAUGACCUUGUAGGUUGCUAUUACUGUUGUUGAAACUCCAGCUGUCUUACUUGGAAAUUAUCUCCCUAUCCUUAUCCUUGAUUAUUAGUCCACGAGAAAUUUGGGUGAUUCCUCUACUCUGGAUUAUAUGUGUUGGAAUACUGAUUGUUUUGUUGCCACUAAAAGUUUUGCGUUUAACUAAAGUCCUUGGAUUGCUUCAUUUGCAUGGAGGCUAUAGGACAAAUUUAAGCAGUAUGAUCUGCCCUACAACCUGUGCAAAUGGUGUUGGCUGGUAUACCAUGCUCACAUUCCGAAUAAGGCUGUCUAACUUCUCUGUCAAUGAUUUCAUUUGGGUUACUAAUCAUGUAGCGAAGUCAAUGUUGUAAAUUCAUGCUAUUUUCCUUGACACACCCUGUCUAUUACCACAUAGACUGAUUUUCUAUUAUUUUCUCAAAAAGAUUUGAGGCGUUGUCUAAGGGAAUAUCCAUGAUUGAUCCUCUUGUUAUAGUGUCGACCAUGUUAUGGUAUUCAAU